UCAGAAGCUGGAGUUUCUGCAACAGAUCCUGAUGUCCAUUCGCAGAACUGACCUCCUCAACAAGAUCAGACGUUUCCAGCAGACCUCAAAAACGACCAAACAAGGCUCUGCUGACAGACCUCAGACCUGCGCAAAACCACAGGAGCAGGUGUACAGUGUUCACAGAGAGCCCAGAGGAGUGUGCUUAAUCCUGGACUGCAUCGGCACUGAGGCAGACGGGCUGAUCUGCUAGAUAUGCACACCGCGGUAAACCGUGCAGCAAACCAACACAACCGUCAGUCUGCAGGAUCUCAGGACUCUCUACACCUGAGGAAAAAACUCUUCAUCCACACAGACUCCGCUUUACCCGCAGAUUACCCUGUUUUACAGCAUUAACACUGCAGUGAUUAUUUUCACCUCUCACACACCUGAAACCGGAUCAGAGAAACUGUUUAACAUUUCAAAACAUUGCACAUCAUUAUUACUGAUAUUAAUAUGAUCAGUUCUUCGUUAAUAGAGUUAUUAUCUAUUUUCUGGAUUAGCCAUGCUCAGAUCAAAUGUUUUAUAUACAGUUAAAGUCAGAAUUAUUAGCCCGUCUGUAUAUUUUCCUCCAAUUUCUGAUUAACAAAGAGAAGAUUUUUCUUCAGCACAUUUCUAAACAUAAUAGUUUAAUAACUCAUCUCUAAUAACUGAUGUCUUUUCUCUUUGUCAUGA